GUAUUUGUAACAUAAUACAUGUUCAUGGUUUUUGUAUAACGCUCCAUAAAGGAAAUGUAUUCCUAAAGGAAAUACUGGAUUGAUUAAAUGAAGGUAGAGUGCCCAUGCCACCGAAACACCAUUUGAAGCAUUCAACAUGUUUCUGCUCAGUCACUGUCAGAAAAACAACUAAAGAGGCUGUCAAAAAUAAUAAAAAAAUCUCACCCAAGAACAGCAGCAUUUUCAGCUUUGUCUGCUACAGUGGAGCCUUUGCUACCCUCUGAGUUCUGAAAUGCAUCGGUACCUGAAGUCCCUGUGAGAAGGGGAAAAAGACCUACAGUUCCAAACUCCAACUGCACCUCCUCUGCUUUUCAAAAACAGUGGCCUUGUCCAACGCUUUAAAGUGCAUGUGCACUUUUGUUUUUUUAGAACAGAAGGGACAUAAUAUCCUUUCAUUUCUUCCGGAAAGUUUAACUGCUUGCCUUAGUGCUAAGUCAGAAAGGAUGGGACAUCAAAUUGGACAGAAAAGAGAAGAGCUGAUGGGUAGAACAGUUAAGCUGAAAAUAGAAGAGCCGGACCAGUAAGAAGAGUUCAGUUGACAAAGAAAUCCUGAGAGCUGAGCACAACUUGACUUUGUCUGUAGCUGGUGUCCACUGAUAUCACAGAAUCACUUCUCUUCUCCAGAGCAGCAGGGAGGAACUUGACUCAGAGCAAGGGCAGUGGAAGGAAAGAACAAAGAAGGUGGAGAAGAUGGAGUCCUUUUAUACCUGAAUUCAGGGGCCAGGUGGGAAUAUGCUGAAGCAGAAGCACCAAAGUGAGAAGAAGGUCUUCUAAGGUAUUUCAAAUCAAAGGAAAGUAAACCAAGACAGAACAGAUGCUUGAAAUACAGAAUAAUCUUCAGUGUGUAUCCCAAAGAUAAGAGUGAGGAAUCUCAAAGCUACGUUUCUGCAACAAGAAUGCCAAGUAAAAAAAGAGUGCUUGUCCCUCAGCGAGCUCACAUCACUGCCAUGCCACAAGGAGAAGCAAAACUGAAGAAAUUAUAUCCCGUGGAGCACAAAGAUUUCCCACCAUCCUACAGGUAUUUUAACAGAACAAACUCAAUCAAAUGCUCCAUUCACUUCUUAUGAACAGCUAUAUAUUAGCUGUCUUGUUGGAAAAUGUUGUUCAAAUGUUUCAACUGUUGGCACCAAUUUCCAGAAUUUAAAAAAUUCAGCCUUCUGAUGAUGUUGCAAAAGCUCACACUUUCCUUAGAGGAACCUAGGUUUAAAUAGACAUCAGUAACAGAGCAAUUGUCAGCACUUAGGUAUUGACAUAGCUCUGUUUCCACUGAAGUUAGAUCACUAA